rnacentral:rRNA from 1 species
GUUGGUGUCGAUAGCGGCGGUGACACACCUGAUCCCAUCCCGAACUCAGAAGUUAAGCCCGUCAGCGGCGAUGGUAAUGCAGGGGCAACCCUGUGUGAGAGUAGCACGAUGCCAGCU